rnacentral:misc_RNA from 1 species
UUCAAUUAUAUAAUGUUUUCUUAGCUGAUUACGGAAAGCAAAGAAGCAAGCUGUAUAGAUAAUUGUUGGGGAAAAAUCAUUGUUGCUUAGAAGUAAUUUUCAUCAGCAUGCAAUAGAACUUAAAGAUGUUUAAAACACGGAAACAUAACAUAUUCUUCUUAUUUACAGGAUAGAACAAUAACUAUAAAAAUCAUCACCAACCACAUACCAAACAUCGCAUCUCUGACAUGCCCUUGGAGCAUAAGGAACGAUCAUUUCUUUAACGAUCAUUUCUUUCUUCAGUGAAUCUUUGUCUUCCUUCUUCUCUUCCUUAGCAGGCCCUAUGCUCACAAUUGUUGCAGACCUUCGAAACUUUCUGACCUUGUUAAUGAUCUUCACUGGAUCAGCUUCACCGAUCACUGUCACUGUAUUCUUCGAAGGGUCAAGGACAAUAGAAGUUAUCCCUUCAAUUGUUGCAAUUAACUUCAUCACCUUCUGCCUGCAUUUUGAACAGAGCAGCUCCACUGACACUACAGUUUUCUUGUAUUUCAAACUGUCGUGCCCUAAAGGGCAUGAAACAGCCCUUCAAUUUAUCAAUUCAGCUUUAGUAGGCAUUGGGGUUAGCUGAAUGAGUACGACGUACCCUACUUUUGCCACGUUUUGUCAAUUUUUGUUGUAAAAACUUCAGAAGAGGUCCUAAAAGAUCCUGUUCUUAUACAGAGAGAUGACUUCAAUGACUAACACCUCGUUAUCAAGCACAUGUUACAGCUGCUUACUGCUGCCAAUGUAUUGGACCGCAUGUGUGUUCUAUUUGGCCAAUUAAAACACAACAACUCUCAAACCUUCAAUCUUGGCUGGAGAUCCUGAUUUGAACCAUGCCCAGGCAUCAGUCUUGCUGACCUUCAUACAGUCGCUCAAUAGAAUCUUCAGUAAAGUAAGAAUGCUCCAGAGUCCUGUUGAAUGUCAUUUUAUAGUUUCAAAAACCUCCAUACUCAAAGUGUUGCCUUUCAUAUGCUUUGUUUCCGCCAACUGAGCAUAGGAGUUUAGUAUCUUCUUGUCCUUUUCAUAAUAGGUUUCCAUCUUUUUUAAGGGUUUCAAAUCCAAGUCAAUGAAAUUCACCUAAGGAAGUUACAGCAUAAAUGAAAUAACAAAAUAUAAGCAAAGGCAUGGUGCUAGUUGUUAUUGAGAGGUAAAGUGAUCAAAUAAUAAUACCUACCAACUUUAUAUCUACUAUGUGAUUUAAGAUAAAAUUGAAAUGGGUUAAAGGCCUACCUUGUAAUCAAAGUUUUGGUUGGUUGAUUUCAGAUAUAUACUGCUAUAUGGAGACCCAAAAUCCGUAUCUUCCCUUGGUUUAAAACUGAUCAUCAAACUACAGUCCUUUGCAGUUGCAGCUAUUAAAUAAUCCUUUACCAUCUUCAAGCUCUCAUCCAAAGGAAUGGAAUGCAAGGAGGCAUAUCCAUGUGGAACUCUCGCUUCAUCCAAUUCUCUACACACCAUGCAAGGCUUAGAAAUAAUGUUAUAAUAAGCAUGAAUUGCCCCUUCAAUGUCAAAAUUAUCAAGCUUUUGGACUUCAAGAAGCCGAUCCAGUACUCGAGAACUAUAGACUGUCUCAGCCACAAGCUCUAUGAAACUCCUUGUACGCAAACCAUCAUCUGCCUGGAUGACUCCCUUCAGUGCAUCUUCAAAAGCUUUUUCAAUCACACAACUAGUUUUAUUUGUGCCACCACCCAAGCCCCCAAAUAUAAUAGAUCCAUUUAAGAAUACGCGGAAAUUGUUCUGCGGGGUGUUGUAAAGAUCAUUGAUAGCUUUAUGUAUUCUUUCCUUGGAACCAGAGAAAAUAUCCAAUGGAUCAUAUUGACUUAACUCGGAUAUCUCACGUUCGUGCAACUUGAGGACUUGGUGCAUUCUAAAACGAGUUGUGCUCCUUUUAACGGCAUUUCUUUCAGCUAUGAAUCUUGAUGAAGGGAGAAAUCCACAUUUUGGCUUUAUUUCAACAGAUAUACAAGGCCCAACAUUAAGAAUACCACUAGGAAAUAAAGAAUGAUCGCUCAUGAGAAGCACGAAAUUACGUUGUGUGUCAAUCUUGGCAGCAUCAACUCGCCAAGCAGGACGCUGGCAGAUCACUUUCUUCUCUAUAGAUUCAAGAAACUCUCGAGAUACAAGGACAUGCGUACCAGCAUCAACGUGUUCGGGACCCAACAAAGGGCUUAUAACAUGCUGCACAUAAAGCAACUCCGCUGAUUCUUUUGUAGGAGACGAUAUUAACUCUUCUAAUUCUCUCCAUAGCAACCUUUCAUGCUCUGUUAAAACAGUGUGAUCAACCAGACAACGCGAAGAGCUGUUGCUAGCUACUUUUUGUAUUCUCAUCACCUUCCCAAUCUGUGUUAUUAUAGUAGCAUACAUUACAUAUCAAACAAAACAGUUUCAAAAAAAAAGAGUUGGAUACGUUUUUUUCUAAAGAGAAAAAUAUUAGGCAAUUGAUUUUUCUUACUCCACUCUAAAAUUCCCAUAUAAUGCAUUAGCUAAAAGGGAAUCUACUUUUCACUGAGAAAAUAUAAACAAAAAUGUAAAAUUCCAAUCAGAGUCAAUGAACUCACAAAAACGGUAGAGGAGCCGGUGUAAGAGAGGACUAGAUUAGCAGCACCUUCACCUCUGUAAAUCCAAUCAGCUGCGUCCUUUUGCUCUAAUUUGAUCUCCAUUUGGUGAACCUGGUAAGCUCUCUACAGUUCAUUACACCAUCGGAUUACAACUCUCCAAAUAAACAAAUAAAUAACCAAAAAAUAAAGGCAAGAAGAAAAAUAGGAUAAAUAAUUACCUAGAAAGAACUGACAAAAAAAAAUCUCUGAUUAGAAAUCUAAACUAUCAACCCUAGAAGACAAGCACUCGCACACUAUACUAAUCUCAAAGAAUCACAAUAAGAGAUCCAAAUUAAAGGAUGCUGCACCUUUGCUUUACUCUCUCUGAGCUGAGCUCCACAGAGCUGAAUUUAAAGGCGCGAAUUGCAAAUUGAAGUGGAGAAAAGUAGCGGAAAAAGUGAAAAGUUGGGUAGCGGAACGCUUUACUUGUUAGGAAAAGAGAGAGACCAUUUUCAAUUCGAUUUUAUCAUUCUAGCUUGGACUCUCUACAGUUGACCUAUUGGACGCUCAUCGCUACUGUGAAAUGUGCCCCUUGCUUCGGUUGCUGUACCAUGGGGACUAGUCGGUCAUUUCAGUUUCAAAAGUACAAAAAUGGAAUCCAAUGCUUGUGCGGAUUCACGAGAAUAAUUUUUGUGGGGGCACGUAUCUUAUCGUUACCCCGACCGAAAUCCCACUUGAUUUUAAUGGCAAG